UGGAAGCCAAAUGUUGCUAGAAAUGCUC
rnacentral:piRNA from 1 species